GAUAAUUCAUACUUGAUGGUCACGCGUAUUCUUGGGGAAUUAACACACAUUUUGAGAUGUUAUUGCUUGAGAAUACACGUAGUUGUCGAGGAGAAAAUCAAC
rnacentral:pre_miRNA from 11 species